rnacentral:lncRNA from 1 species
AGGAUCACACCAUCACACCAGAUUCUGGCGCGACAACGACCCAAUUGACGGAGUGUCAACUUAGGGUUUAAGAAAGGGAUAGGCUGUGUAAAAGACCAUGACGAGAGUUAGCAUUCCGACCAAGUUAGACCAGAUUCCGUGUUCCGGUGAAGGUACAGCUAGGGUUCUAGGGAGCAGUGCCGGCAAGGAGAGCCAGGUGAAGAUCCGGUAAGUAGAUUGAAGCAUGUACAGGAGUUCUUCAAGUGAAU